rnacentral:rRNA from 1 species
ACGGAGGAUGCGAGCGUUAUCCGGAUUUAUUGGGUUUAAAGGGUGCGUAGGCGGACUAUUAAGUCAGUGGUGAAAUCCUGCAGCUUAACUGCAGAACUGCCAUUGAUACUGAUAGCCUUGAGUUUGGUUAAGGUAGGCGGAAUGUGUAAUGUAGCGGUGAAAUGCUGAGAUCUUACACAGACCACCGAUUGCGUAGGCAUCUUACUAAGCCGACUCUGACGCUGAGGCACGAAAGCGUGGGGAUCAAACAG